GCGCCGAUGAUCUAGUGGCAUGAUUCGAGCUUCCCAAGCUCGUUGUGCGGGUUCGAUGACAUCCUGUCCCAUGGGGCGGGAGGUUUGAAACGCGAAGCGUUUCAGGAAUAUCCCGCUCGGCGCACCA
rnacentral:tRNA from 1 species